AGUAUGUAGCAGAAAGGCUAUGCCAUGGGAAUAGACUGGGAGUUUGUUAACAGUCUUACAGACGCCCAACUCCAGGCAGCAGAUGAGGAUGAUCAGUUUCAUCAGGAAAUAUGUGACAUUUUGUUGGGUGAUGUCAAUGAGGGAGAUCUUGCUGACUCAGCGAAAGUCAAACACCUUCUCCAUGUUGCUGGGGUGGUGAUUCAGCAGAAAUCGAAUGAUUUAAUAGAAGUAGAGAGUUACGGUACAGAACUAGUAAAUAAUGCUGAAGCCAAGAUUGUGAAGCUCGAGAGUGAGCUCAAGGCUAAAGAAGCAAUGAUCAGUGAUUUACAGAAUGGAGGAACAGGUCGAGAUGCCCGCUAUCUGCGAGACGAGCUCAGGACAAUGGAGGCUGAAAAUGAAAGACUUAAAAAAGAAGUUAAGGAUUUGGGCAAAGAAUUUGGAUCGUCACGGGAAAAUGUUGAGAAGAUCACAAACGAUUACAUGGAAUGUAAAGCGGUGAACCGUCGUCUUGAGAGCGAUAAUGAUCAACUAAAGAAAGACAUUCUUGAUCUCAGAAACCAGAUGGAAGCUCAAAGAGAAGCUCUGAUGAUAAAACGUGAUGGUGACGAGGGAAGGAUGAUGAAGCGGCUCCAGAGUCAAGAACAGACUCGGUUCAUGAGCGAGAUCCACGAACUUACUGAGGCUAAUGAAUUCAUGAAAGAUGAAGUGGAGGAGGUGACCCAGAAGUUGAGCACAGCAACUGCCGAGUUAGUGAAGCUCACCGACGAGUAUGCUUCAAUGAAGACAGUGAUAAACGAAACAGACAAAGCAAACGCAAGGCUCGAAGAAGAGAAUAAUGGUCUUAAACUCCAGGUACAGGAUCUACAAGAACUGCUGAUGGAACAGGGGUCUCUUGAUAACAAUGUCAUGACUCAUGUCAACUCUGAAGUGGACAAAUGGAAAAAAUUGUUGUCUGAAACGGAAGAAAAGCUUGUGGACGAGCGGAAGAGAAACCACAUUAUGGCCCAGCAGCUGGAUGCAACCAAGCUGGAUGGUGAUAAGAAAGUUAUGGCCGAGCUUGCUCAAGCUGUCGCUGAUAAAGACAAACAGAUCGAGGAGUUAAAGAAAGAGCUGGAUGAAGGAUACAAACAAAUGCAGCUGAUGGGGGAGUUUGCAGAAGAGCUGCAAGCUACCGAGGUGGUCCAGGAGACAAAUCACCUAGAGAAACUGCUCCACGAUUACAAGAAUUCAGCAAAAGCAGAGCGAGAGCGGCUGAGGAAGCUUGAAGCAGACUCAGCUGAGAGAGAUAAGCAGCUAGCAGAGGCUCUAACCAGGAUAGGACAGUACGAGAACGGAACUUACGGACUGAGGGAGGCAGUGCAGGAAAUCAAGGAUCUAAAAAAACAGAUGGGAAUACGAGACGGAGAAAUAACUGAAACAACAAAACAAAUGAACAAGCUGGAAAUGAACCUUUGUCAAGCUCUGGAUGAAAACGAAGAAAUGAGACGCAGGCUCGGUCUGGAUCCCAGUGAAAAUAUCGAUUUGUCAGAGCUGAAGUUUACGAAGGCUGCAGAGCAGGAACAGUUGCGUGCUAUCAACAGACUGCUGUCAGCUGAAGUGGAACGUUUGGAGCGAGAACGAAUUGAGAUGAAGAAGGUCUUCCGAAAACAAGCUAUGCAUCGUGGUGUUAGAGCUGUCGAGUUGGGUUUGAAGACAGAAGAUUUGGAAGCAAUAGAGGAAGCGGCCGCUGAAGCAGGACUUUCUGCUAACGAAUCUUCAAUGAUUCAGGAACAAAUGAUCGCCAAGUUCCAAGAACUAAAGAGUGAAGAAAGAAACACGGCUGUCGAACUCAAGAUAGAAGUCAAAGAACUGAAGAUGCAGAAUAGCAAUCUUAAUAAAACCGUCGAUAAUCUGACCCAGAAAAACGCUGAGAUAACUGCAAAACAUACCAAAGUGGAGAAGGAGAGGGAAAGGUUUGAAGCAGCACUAAAAGAAGCACUCAGAGGGAAAGGCGGUGGAAAGUUGGAGGAUCAGCCGGAAAUAUACAGAUUGUUGACACUGCUGGAGGACAGACUUAAUCAAUCUUAUCCUGAUCUUACUCAGCAUCUGAAGGCUCAGGUGGCACAAUUGAAUGGAAGAAAUUUGGAACUACGUACGGAACUAGCUCGAACUAAGGAAGAAAUGCGGCGAUGUGAACGCGAGCGAGCCGGUGCCGUGGCAGAUCUCGCCAGAUUCGCUCCAAGCAGUGCUCAAGUUUUCCCAGGUCCAGUAAUCCAAAGCUCGCAGCCCCUGGCGCAUCAGCUGAUAAUAGCGCUUCAAGAAGUGGAGGAAAAAGAAGAAUUGUGUAAGGAGAUGGAGAGACAGCUACUUCAUACUCAGGACCAACUGUCUCGACUCACAGCACAACAGGGAAUGUUGUACGAGGAUCACUACAAGCUCAAAACAGAUCUGAAAAGCAAUGCCACAGCUGAACAAAACAUCAAUUCUGGGUCUGAUCUCCAGGCUUACAAAGAAGAAUUGGAAAGGUUGCAAAAAGUUCUGCAACAAAGUGGGAAUGAGCAGAAAAAGUCUACUUCUGAGGCAUCUCGCAAAAUGGUUCUCCUGAAAGUUCACGAGCGCACGAUGCGCCGGGAACUGAAAUCUCUCUACGAACGUGAAGAAGCAAAUGAGCGAGAAAUAAAACGAUUAAAGAUCCUGGAUGAUUAUAGAGUGAAGGAGACAAGACAGAGAUUAGCUUGGUUAGAACAGUUCAAGGAUUCAGCGUCCUAUCACAUCCAGCAACUCCGAGAUCAGCUCAUCAACUGUGUACCCCAGAAAGAUGUAGAAAGAUUUUCGACUCGUACACCAACAUUACAAACAAGUACAGAAAACUUCUUGAGGAGGAAUCUCUUGUCCAGCAAUCGACACAAAAAGUACACGAGCUACGGGAAGAACUGACGAAGACACAGACUGAAUUGGAGGAUGCUCGGAAGAAACUUGCCGUUCAAACCCAACGUUGUGAGAGGUUUGAGGAAAGAUUAGCUGCAGUAAACGAGCCUACUAGAGAUGGGGAGACGGCUAACUUUGAGGAUAAGAUCUACAACCUGGAAAUGCAGCUUAUAAAUGAGAAACAGAAAGCUAACCACGCCAUUAACAAACAUUCUAAGUUAUUAUCUGUUACACAUGAGUUAGAAGAGAGAAACAGUACAGUCGAGGAGAAGUUCACAGAUCUAGUUCAGCGUAACAAUUCUCUGCAAGAGCGGGAAAAAAGUCUGUCUCAGGACCUUGAGGCUGUCACUAAAUACGGAGGCAAAGAUUCUAGGACACAGAUUCUAGAGAAGCAAGUAGUGGCUUUACAAGCGGAGGUAAAACGAGUACAGACGUCUGCUGACAUCAGUGCGGAUCAAACUCGGACACUUCUCGCAAGAAAAGAUCAGAAACAGAAGGAAAUUGAACAGUAUAAGUUAGCUUUGGGGGAAAUGGAGAAGCAAACAAAUGAUAAACUGACGAUAGGAUUGUUAACUCAGAGGUUGGUUGAGGUACAGAAUCGAGACAUUGAGUCCAAUAAACUGGCGGAGGAAUUCAAACUGAAACUGUCUCAGAAUCAAAGCAAGUUGUUAGUGCUGGAGACAAAGCUGGCAGAUCAGCUUAAACUGCAAGAUUUACAGCACAAGAAGGUUGUGUCGCACGUGCAACUUCUCUCGCGCACGAUCUGCUAUCUCCGGGGGCAGUACUCGGGUGCAGUGCCGCUGCAGAGACAACAGAGACUAGGGGAGGCAGUAAGGGCUCUUAUUCUCGAGAAACAGGAUCUCAGCUCAAAACUUGUGCAGGCCGAGAAAGAGAAAGGAGAGCGAGAAGUUGAGCUGGAACAUCUGAAGUCAUCUGGAAGUAAAUCUCUUACAAGUGUGAGCAAAGUUAGGCUCUCCGAGAUGAGAUUGAAACGUGAAGUUACUCAGCUAAAACAGCAGCUUACAUAUCUAGAGAAACUAGUUAAAGAUUACGAACAAACGAUUCGGGAGUUAGAGGACGAAAAUGCUGGAGUUUACGAACUAUUGACAGAGCAGCGUGCUCUGGACACCAGCAUUUCCACCGUUCAGCAAACGACUGUUACUGUUUCUAGCACUGCUAAACAGGAGAAACAGCGAGAUAACUAUGUUUUGUGUUCUAGGUGUAAGGAUAAAUUGGGGGCUAAAGAAGAGACCAAGCCGUCAAAAUUAGUUAGCCUCGAAAUUGAAUAUUUGAACAAGCAAUUGGCUAAGAAAGAAGAGAAGAUAAAAUCGCAGAAAGAGGAAGUAGAUCUUCUGAAGGGCUCUUUAAGUAAUUCUCACAGCAAGAUAUCGAAGUUAAACAAAGAUAUUGAUAAGAUUGAGGAACAGCUUGCUAUGAAAAACGGCUCAAAUCCAGAGGAUUAUUCAGCUUUCAAGAAGUCCCAGGCGUCAGCUCAACAAGCUAUUAGUGUUUUAAACGACAGAAUCGAGCAAAAAGAUGUCGCUAUAAAGAAGUACCAAGAAAUGCUGAGAGAUUUGCGAUCCGAAACGAAGUUAGCUCGUGAAAAGCAUGAGCGUGAAUUGAAUAAACUUUCAAAGGAACACAGUUUUAAAGAACAAGAAUGGUUAUCCAAGUAUCAGCAUCUGUCAACAGAACUACAAUCACUACAAGAUGUUGGGGCGAUGCCAACACCACACAGGCGCGCAGAACUUGAGGAACUUAUCUUGGAACAAGACAAGGCCAAUGCUAUGUUGAGGGAUAGUAUCUUCAAGCUCAGACAAGAGAUAAGUGACCUAAAAACAGAAAGAUUAGCCGUACAGCAGACGUAUGAAAAGGAGAAGGAGAAAAUUAAAGCUGAAGCCGACAGAAAGUUCAAAAAGCAAAACAACGAGAUUGCCGAAUUAAACAAGCAAAAUGCUACUCUUCUCGGUGACAACAAAGAUCUUGCAGAUGCAAAUAAAAACCUGAGAAAGGCAAAGUCUCCAAGAGGUAAAUCAGAAACAUCUAAACUCGCAGAAAAAGACGCAGAAAUUGCCAAGUUGAAAGAAGCGUUGGUCCUAUUGCGACAGGAGAUGACCAGUUUGAUUGAGGAGAGAAUGAGGGAAAAUGUGGUCCCUGCCGGGGCAAAUGAAGGAGACGCAGUGAAGAAAGAACGGGAUGUUGAAAAUUUGAGAUCAAAGGUUGCUAAACUUCAGAAGGAUCGGGAUGAAAUCUUGAAAGAGAAGACGAUGCUUGCAACGCAGCUUGCUACAAAACAGAACCCGAAGCAAACAGCGGAGAUAGAGACUUUAAAGAAGCAGCUGACAAUACAGCGAGAGAAGUUUAACAAAAUGAAAUCAAGUCAAGACACCAGGCCACCAGCGUUAUUACAACCCAAAGAUACACAGACUAGAAUAAAGGAAUUGGAGAGAGAACUGGAAGCGGCUAAGAAAGACUCUUCCAAACCUCCGAGUGCGGUGAUCGAUGCUUGGCUUGACAACAAGAAAUGGAAUAAAAAGAUCGAGAAUCAGAAGAAAACGCUGGAAAAGAAAGACAAAGAAAUAGAAACAUUGUCAAAGCAAAACACUGGAAUGAGAGAGACGAUAGAAAGACUAGACAGGGAAAAGUUGCUUCUUAAUAACAAACUAAAGAAUUCUCUUAAGUUAUACUCAAAAGCUAACAAUAAGGAUCCCAAAGGAUAUACAGACACGCAAAUUUAUACUCAGGAACUGAAAAGAAGAAUUUUUGAUUUGGAAGAGGAAAACGCGACAAUUAAACACGACAUGACACGUGACAUGAAAAACCCGAUGGAGGAGCGAGAUAGCACGAUAGUAGUGUUGAGACACACUAUAUCAGGUCUGGAAAGACAAAUUCAGGAGUCUGUCGGAGACAGUGAUUCUAAACUAAUCCCACUUCAAGAGCUAAGGACUGAGCAAGAGAAGAAAAUAAUAGAACUAGAGCACGAUCUCCUGUCAGCUAAGCUGAAGGCUGAGCACGCCCAUCUGGAGCUGCCCAGACUUAGAACUCGUGUUAACGAACUCCAGGCUUACACUGACGUUCUGAAACCUGCCUCAACUGGCCGAAGUGCACCUGCGCGACCAGUAGCGGGGAAGUCUGUCGUUGAGUUGGAACGUGUAAUAAACGCAAUGAAGCGAGUUAUCGAGAAAUUACAGAAAGAGAAUGCUCAGAUUAAAAGUCAGAUGGAUUUGUUGCAUAAACAGAACCAAUCUGAACUUCAAGCGAAACCUAACGACGAAUUGGAGGAAUUAGUUAAAAAUCUCAAACAGUCC